ensembl:lncRNA
GUUCUGACUCAGGCAAUAAACAUUUGGUAAGAAGCUAGCUAUAGUUCAGUUUGGAACAACACAGGCCAUGAAUGACCAAGGAGCACAUCGGCAUUCUUCUCCCUUAUAAGGCUGUCCUUCUUCAUUCAGUUAACGGCAGUGCUGUUGAUGUAAUAGCCCAUGAAAGGUGGCUGAACAUAAUUGCAUGCAGUGGUGUGCUUCUCCUGACCUCUUCAGCUAAAAGCCCAUUAUGAAAAGUACAAGGGCUAAACAGCUCUGACACCUAAAGUACCAACUUAAAUAGUUCCAGAGGAAAACAGCUUUACACAGAAUAGUUUCCUACCAAUGGAUGGUUUCAGUUCCUAAGUGAAAUCAGAGCAGAGGCAAAGGAUGAAGAGGGCAUCUUGAUCAUGAGAGCACAGAGGAGAUGUACUAAGUACACUAUAGAAAAUUCACUACGUAAGUUCUACUGUUUACAAAGCAAUCUGACUGAAAUCCGACUUAGCCAGGACCUGAUGUUUUGUACUAUGCAAUUCCUCUUUAUUCAGCGUAGGCUCAUUGUAAGAGACUAUUCUUUUAUAUCAUUGACUCAAAGUUUGCUGAGGAACAAGUCCAGGCAAGUCCUGGGCAAAGGUAGAGAAAUCUUUUAUCUUGAGGACACUGAUGGACAGGUCCUGGCUAAGGAUUGUGAAAUCCUCUAAGGAGCACAGAUGGACAAGGCCAGGGGCAACGAGAGAGAGAUAAGCUGCUGCUAAUGGCCGGGAAACGGUCUUUUUGUGUGGACUUAUCUCGAGGAAGAUGGCCAUCUCAGGAGAUCCCUCACCACGACAGACUCGAGGUUUGUGCCAUCAGAUCCCUCACUACGGACCGUAUGCUGACGGACUUCCCUGGGCCUGCUACCUGAGACCUGCUGCUUCCUCCCAGACUUACUCUGCGGCUUCUUCCUGGACCCACCCGGUACCUGCACCCUCUCGUUGCCCAAGACCGGCCUCGCUGCUCCUGCCCUUCGGCCUCCGACCAUCGGAACGUCGUGCAACGGGACUACUGCCGGAUCCUGGUGGUGACUAUCCCCGCUUUACGCAAUUCUUGCUUCUUUCUAUCUUUUCCUAUCGCUCGCCUUCCCUUCCCCAUCACCCCAAUCCGUAAUAGUGUCCGUCCUCCCCUUUCUUCAUCUCCCUUAUUAACAUUUGUAAUAAACUGGUCGGACCAACAUUUUAACCGUUGUUUCUUAAUCUCACGCCGGGCAUACAUAUUUCAAAGAACCUCCUCUCCCUCCUAUAAAUUGGAGCGGGACACUCAUAUAAAGAAAAAGUGAAGUAACGUAUAUUGUUUUCCCUUAAUAUCUGAUUUUUUUUUUUAAUGCUGCUUAUGAAGAAACAAAAUUCAACACUAUAGGAGAUUUUUUUUUUUCAUUUAUUCCCUUAGAAAGAGGGAAAAAAUGAUUCUUACAUAGAUAGUAAUUGUCCAAAGUUGCAAAAUAUCUAGCUACAGAACCAGUUAAAAAUGCUCCAAAAAGUAGUAUUCCCAAAUUCAAGAGAGCAUGGGGCCUAUUUUACUGUUUAAAGCAAUCCUAUAAACCACUCUAAGUUUGCAUCAUUAAGGUAUUGACAAAUGACAAAGAUGAUACAUGACCUGGAAAAUUCUUUAAGUAUCCAGAAAGAGAGAAGUUACAC